rnacentral:rRNA from 1 species
GACGAACGCUGGAGGCGUGCUUAACACAUGCAGGUCGAACGAUGAAAUGGAGCUUGCUCCAUGGAUUAGUGGCGAACGGGUGAGUAACACGUGAAUAACCUGCCCUUAAUUUUGGAAUAACCCAGGGAAACCUGGGCUAAUACCGGAUAAGUAAACCUGUGGCAUCACAUGGUUUUGAAAGUUUUUCGAUUAAGGAUGGAUUCGCGGCCUAUUAGCUUGUUGGUGAGGUAAUGGCUCACCAAGGCGACGACGGGUAGCCGGCCUGAGAGGGUGAACGGCCACACUGGGACUGAGACACGGCCCAGACUCCUACGGGAGGCAGCAGUGGGGAAUAUUGCACAAUGGACGAAAGUCUGACGCAGCGACGCCUCGUGAGGGACGAAGGUCUUCGGAUUGUAAACCUCUUUCAGCAGGGACGAAGCGAAAGUGACGGUACCUGCAGGAGAAGCACCGGCUAACUAUGUGCCAGCAGCCGCCGCCG